UUGAACGCUGGCGGCAUGCCUUACACAUGCAAGUCGAACGGUAACAGGUCUUCGGAUGCUGACGAGUGGCGAACGGGUGAGUAAUACAUCGGAACGUGCCCGAUCGUGGGGGAUAACGCAGCGAAAGCUGUGCUAAUACCGCAUACGAUCUACGGAUGAAAGCAGGGGACCGCAAGGCCUUGCGCGGACGGAGCGGCCGAUGGCAGAUUAGGUAGUUGGUGAGGUAAAGGCUCACCAAGGCGACGAUCCGUAGCGGGUCUGAGAGGAUGAUCCGCCACACUGGGACUGAGACACGGCCCAGACUCCUACGGGAGGCAGCAGUGGGGAAUUUUGGACAAUGGGCGCAAGCCUGAUCCAGCCAUGCCGCGUGAGUGAAGAAGGCCUUCGGGUUGUAAAGCUCUUUCGGCGGGGAAGAAAUCGCACGGGUUAAUACCUCGUGUGGAUGACGGUACCCGAAUAAGAAGCACCGGCUAACUACGU
rnacentral:rRNA from 1 species